rnacentral:rRNA from 1 species
UGGGGAAUAUUGGACAAUGGGCGAAAGCCUGAUCCAGCCAUGCCGCGUGUGUGAAGAAGGUCUUCGGAUUGUAAAGCACUUUAAGUUGGGAGGAAGGGCUGCAAGUUAAUACCUUGUAGUUUUGACGUUACCAACAGAAUAAGCACCGGCUAACUUCGUGCCAGCAGCCGCGGUAAUACGAAGGGUGCAAGCGUUAAUCGGAAUUACUGGGCGUAAAGCGCGCGUAGGUGGUUUGGUAAGAUGGAUGUGAAAUCCCCGGGCUCAACCUGGGAACUGCAUCCAUAACUGCCUGACUAGAGUACGGUAGAGGGUGGUGGAAUUUCCUGUGUAGCGGUGAAAUGCGUAGAUAUAGGAAGGAACACCUGUGGCGAAGGCGACCACCUGGACUGAUACUGACACUGAGGUGCGAAAGCGUGGGGAGCAAACA